UCAUAUAUAUACUAUCUGAGACAUCGUGUUUGACAUUAUGUUCUGUGUUAGAUCCAUAUAUUUGCCAUUUUUUCAAAGUUACUUGCUAGAUGGUCAGAGUUUGCUGUUUCUAUCGCUAUGCUUACCCCAUUGCUCACAGCACCCUUGGUUAAAUGGAUAAUUAUAGCUCACCCCAAUAUACGCCAAAUUGAAGCUUCACUUCUGUCACUAUAUGUUUAUGUAAUUGGCAAAAACUUUUUGUUCACAAAUAAUAUUUAGCCAUAUAUGUACGUGAAGUCAGGGAAGGAGGGAUCGAUUUAAUUCUUUUGCAAAAAUCAAACUUUUGUCCACUACAAUUUGGAUGGGGGCUUCAUUAUUCAAACCAAAUUAAAGAAAAGAAUAUUCAAUUUCCAACAAAUUUAAUGUACAAUUUCAAAUUCAUACAAGAUGGCUACUCAGACCAUAUUUUCAUGGAGAGCUAGAUCCACCUCUUUACACAUUGAUCUUCACCAAACAAUAUUACAAUUCAACAAAUAAAAAGAAGAAGAUUAAAGAGUGAGAAAAAAACAUUUUCCAAAUUGCUAAUUAGAGUUUUAAGUAAUAAUCAUAUUCCUCCUCACAUUUUGCUAAUUUUUUUUCAACGAGAAGGAUUACCAUAAUUAUAAGCAGGCCUAUUUGAAACUUGACCAGUAUAAGAAUAGAAGUUAGAUUCAAAUCCAUUACUAGGUCUAGUAGAUGAUCCAAAGGCGACUUUGUUGACACUGCGGGAAUGUGUUAACUCCCGUGUCGAUCGUUGGUCCAAAAACUCGAAUGUUGGUGGCUGGUAAUCUGAUCGUGUUCGUCGGUGCGACGACUCAUCGUUGGCAGUGAUCAGUAGAUGGUAGCUCCUGCUUGAACCUACGGAUUGGCUUCUAUAGCUGUGGCGUGGCUUUUGCUUCUUCAUUGCAUGGAAAAGAUAAGGAAUUAAACCCUCCAUAUUAUCCUAACUUUUAUUCUUCUUUGUGUUAUAAGAGAAAAUGAAAAGCAUAUACACAAAAGUCAUAACAAAAUGUGGUUUUAUAAUAAGAUUUUGGAAGUGGGUUGGAGGAUAAUAAUGAGUUAAUGUGAGCAUAUUUUGUGAAGGAAAUAUCUGUGUAAUGUGGUUUUGGUUGGGGGUGUUUUUGAGAAAGUCCAUAUUGUAUAAAGCCAAUUGGAUACUGUGCGGUGUCAACUAUGGAGGGCGCCUAUCAAUUCAACGCAAAGACCAAGUAAUGAACAACCAACUAUUCUCUCACGAUCAAAAACAGAUAAACAUAACCAAAAUUAGAAUUUUGUUUUCAAAGAUAGUAUAUCGUUAAAAAAGGAAGAAGUUUUCAUAGUAUAGUCGUCGAUCAAGACACUCACAGAACACUACGAAAAUAAAGCAAUAACCGAUAAGAAUGAACAACAAUCAAACUCACAAAUAAACUACAUGAAUUUCUAGAAGACAAGUCUCAGUCCACUUAGAACCACAUAUAUAAAACUUUCACCCAAUAUCAAACUAAUCACCUGAGCAGACACUAAACCAGAGGUAAGGUAGAAAAAUUGUAAGCAAUGACAUCUUUUAAUUUAAUCAUUACGGAACAACUUUAACAAAAUUCAUCGAUGUUUCCUGAGAAUUGUUCGUAGCAAUCUAUUUAAAUUUUUUUGAGUGGACUUGGACUAUCGAUGCUUUUUUAUUUUAAAAAAUGAUUGUAUAUAUCUUUUGAUUAUAUGUUGUUUUCUUCAAAAUUUCAAUUAUUCUAUUAUGGUAAAUUACCGAAUCCCAAAAGCUUAAACUAUUAAUCUGGUAAACUUUUAAGGAGGAAAGCCUUUCUUAUUGACUAUAUAUUUUUUAAUUCAAUAAACGUGAUUGUUCUCCAGUAAUAUCUAGAAUGAUUUUGAGCAUUAUUUUGGAAUCUGCUAGGCAGAAGAAAAUGGAAAUAUGGAAGAGGCAAAAAGAUGAUUUUCCACUCAACCUUAAUUAAUUACUUUUCAUAUGUUGCAGAAGCAUUAGGAUCUUAUUGAAUUGACUAUAUAAUAAUGUCGUUCUCACCAAUUUACUGUUGUUUAUCUUCAUGUAAUCUCUCUUGUUGAUUGUAAUCUUUUCCCUAAUCUAAUAACCCUCAUCAAAGGGUGUGGUUAGGUUGUUACAAUCUUCUAGUUUUUUACCUUAUUGUUUCUUCUUGCCUUGUAUAAUGGUGAGUGAGCUAGGUUUGUAUUCAAGUGUGAGAAACCCUUCAACUCCAGAGCUUCAAAACCUUAUUUUGGUAUCAGAGAGACCAUGGAAAACAUCUCAAACAUAACAAAAAUCACCGAUAUUCAAUAAAACCUCCUUCCACUCUAAAGACUAAAAAGACUCGAGCAAAACCCUCACCACAAGCACCAUCGUUUGUUAAUCUGCUCAAUCAAGUGCCCACACAACGAUGCUCCCCACUGGAACCAACCUCCUGUUAUGACACUGUAAUCCCGACAUUAAAAGCUACAAACUAGAAGGACACCUAGUCUUGAAAAAUUCCGCUCCUCAAAUGUAUGUUGAGUAACUAACCUUCUCAAAUAUCUCCACAAUGAUAUGAUAUUGUUCAUAAUAUAUCUUCGUAGCUUUUGUUUUCGGUACCAUCCCAAAACGAGACAUCGAUUUGGAAUUUUGGUCAUAAAGGACAUAGGCAAAUGAGUGUACUAUGUACCUCUAUUUUGGAAAGGAUUGUCAAUUAAUUUAUUUUGAACCGACUCAAUAAUCUAUGAGCUUAAUUAUCAAAAUUGUGAAAGUUUAGCAUCGAUUUACAAAAUUAAAUUUCAAAACCAUAAAAGUUUAUAUGUAUAAUCCAAAUUAGUCAAGCAAUAAUAAUCUAAACAAUUAAUAUUUUAAAAUUUGAAGAAAAAUGUAGAUUUCAAAACUUAAAUAUUUUUUAUAACUUUGACUCAAAAGUUGUUUUUUUUUGCAAAAAAAGUUAUCAAAAUUCAAAUCCCUAAUAAUAAAUUAAUUCCCUCUCGUAUGAGCAAAAAAAUGGCGUGUAGAUGAAGUAGAAUAAAAACAAUAUGGCCGCCAUUGACAACAACCUUUAGUUAACAUUAUCUUCUCACAUGGAAGACAUUGGGAAAAUUCUACCAUAUUUCAUGUAUGAACAAACCUUUGUAAUAAUAAACUAAACAAAAAAGGAUAUGGAUCAAUAUAUAUUGAUUAAUUGUCUUGUUCUUUUCAGCUAUAAAUACAAGGCAUGUGAAAGCCAAUGAAAACCAUAUACUAGAAAGAGAGAUCAGAUUCACAUAUGGAGAUGAAAAACAAGGUUGCUUUGGUGGCCAUGGUGGUUGUGAUGGUGGUUAUGACUCGAUCAGCCACUGUCACCGCUGCCAUGGAUGAGGGGAUUGAACUCCCAACCAACGGUGAAGCAAGUUAUUAUGAUACGCCACCGCCUCCUCGUGUUUGUCCUAUUAUGAUAUUACCAUGCAAAACUGAUUCUGAGUGUUCUCCAUGCUAUUGUAACAAUGGCUCCUGCAUUUGACAAACAAAAUGAGAAGGGAAAAAGAACCAGAAGAAUGAAGUUUGUAAUUUGUAUUGAUGUUUCAUUUGUGUUUUUUCUUUUUUCUUCUUUUUUCUCUAUGUUUAAUGCAGAAUAAACCUUGCUUCUUUUUGCCCUUCAGCUUGUUGAAGUGCAAAAUAAUAUCGAUAUCCAUUACUUUCAUGUUAGUGUUGAUUAUUAUUAGUUUUUUAUACAGUUUCGUGUCAAUAAACUACUAAAGAUUAUAUUCAUGUUUAAGAUGAGGUGCACAAACAUCAAUAAAAAUAACUUUGUUAACACAAAAAUAUGCAAGUUCUAUCAAAAUAUUGAGAAAUAAUGAACUUUUCGGUAUGAACGUCAGGAAAAAUUUUGGUUGACGUUCAUUAGUCUGUCAAGAACAAAAGUUUAUAUUUUGGCCAUCAAUGAAUAAUCCCAAAAGGACACUAAGCAAUAUUGUUUUGGGUUCAUUCCUUUUCUUCUUCUUCCUCAAGCCCUUACCCUGAUGGUCUCCCGUCAAGCAGCUGUCGUGUGAAGCCCUCAUCAAGCCGCCAUCGUGAAGAAGCUACGCUCAUUACCAUCGUAAACCCCAAAUCCUCUUGGAGUUUGGUAUUAACUUGAUUGUGCUUAAAAUCGAUUGGAACUUAUACAUAGUUUUAGAAAUAUAAUAUAUAUAGAUUCAAAACUUGGGGUUUCAUAUAUUUUAUCUAAAAAUACUAUUUUGAACGUUUAAUUAUAUUACUAACAAACUAGAACUACUACUGAUAAAUUUGUGGAUAUACGAGUAGGUAUCAGUUAAAAUCAAAUGAUUAUACACACACAUAUAUAUGUCUACAUCAUGC
rnacentral:lncRNA from 1 species